ACUCAAAGGAAUUGACGGGGGCCCGCACAAGCGGUGGAGCAUGUGGUUCAAUUCGACGCAACGCGAAGAACCUUACCUGGGCUUGAACUGCGGAUGACCGUCCUGGAAACAGGAUCUUCCUUCGGGACGUCCGUAGAGGUGCUGCAUGGCUGUCGUCAGCUCGUGUCGUGAGAUGUUGGGUUAAGUCCCGCAACGAGCGCAACCCUUGUCCCUAGUUGCCAACGGGUAAAGCCGGGAACUCUGGGGAGACUGCCUCGGAAAACGGGGAGGAAGGUGGGGAUGACGUCAAGUCCUCAUGGCCUUUAUGUCCAGGGCUACACACGUGCUACAAUGGGCGGUACAAAGGGUUGCGAUGUCGCGAGGCGGAGCCAAUCCCAAAAAGCCGUCCCCAGUUCGGAUUGCAGUCUGCAACUCGACUGCAUGAAGGUGGAAUCGCUAGUAAUCGCGGAUCAGCACGCCGCGGUGAAUACGUUCCCGGGCCUUGUACACACCGCCCGU
rnacentral:rRNA from 1 species